UUAAGUGACGAUAGCCUAGGAGAUACACCUGUACCCAUGCCGAACACAGAAGUUAAGCCCUAGAACGCCGGAAGUAGUUGGGGGUUGCCCCCUGUGAGAUAUGGUAGCCGCUUAGC
rnacentral:rRNA from 2 species